rnacentral:rRNA from 1 species
GACGAACGCUGGCGGCGUGCCUAAUACAUGCAAGUCGAGCGGACUGAAUGGGAGCUUGCUCUUGUUCGGUCAGCGGCGGACGGGUGAGUAACACGUGGGCAACCUGCCCGCAAGACCGGGAUAACUCCGGGAAACCGGAGCUAAUACCGGAUAACACCGAAGACCGCAUGGUCUUUGGUUGAAAGGCGGCGCAAGCUGCCACUUGCGGAUGGGCCCGCGGCGCAUUAGCUAGUUGGUGAGGUAACGGCUCACCAAGGCGACGAUGCGUAGCCGGCCUGAGAGGGUGAGCGGCAUAGCUGGGACGGGGACACGGCCCAGCAUCCUGCGGGAGGCAGCAGUAGGGAAUCUUCCGCAAUGGGAGAAAGCCUGACGGAGCGACGACGCGUGCGAGCAGAAGGCAUUCGGGUCGUAAAGCUCUGUUGUGCGGGACGAAGGAGAGCCGUUUGAAGAAGGCGGCGCGGUGACGGUACCUCACGAGGAAGCCCCGGCUAACUACGUG